AAAAAUUCAGGAAAAGCGCUGCCGAAGAAGGGAUGUAUGCUAAGAUACAAUGCCGAUUACUGAUGCACUUCUUGGAUUUAUGAUGAAAUAGUGGCAAUUUAUCGUCGCUUUUUUUUCUUGAUACUCUAUCUGUCGGUAGAAGAAUUCCCCUGCUCAAGGCACGCUUGGAAAUAGUUUAUGAUCAAGUGGAUAACUAAUGAUGAAUGGAUAAAAGAAUGUGGAUCAACUCCUUUAUGUAAUUCUACAAUAUUUUUCUUAAUUUUUGUAUUUUUUUUAACUUUAU